AUGCCUUCCCAUGUGGAACACCAGAGAGAGAGGGAAAGGGGAAAAUCAAAUGAGAGGCAUGACAGUUGUGUGAGGAGAGGCCUUCACACAUACACACACUUCGCAUUUUUGUACUCUUGGCAUAUAUUGCUCUCUCUCUCUUCCUCUCCCUCCCUCUCCCUCUCUCUGUCUCAUGUCUCCUGUCAUUUAGCUGGAGAAGCCACAGUGAGAAAACAAAAAAGCAACUUUUGGAAUGAGCAAGUCAGCAUCACAGUGGAUGAAGAAGCAGCUGCUCCCCCGUGGCUGGAAUCGAGCAUACCCUCAGUAAGCUGGAAGCUGGAAAAGGUUAAAUUGCCUCUGUGUCUCUAUCUCCGUCUCUAUGUUCAUAUGGCAUUGAAUGUGUACAUUGUGAUGCACCCUGAGUCCCCUUUGGGGUGAGAAGGGCAGAAUAUAAAUACUGUAAAUAAAUAAAUAAAUAAAUAAAUUAACAAUACACGUUCUUUCUCUUGCUGUUUUUCAUAUUAAACAUUAGGAGGAUAUGCUAUCACAUGAGAAUGCAACAGAGUGUUAUUGGAAGAGAUAUACACUUUCAAUGCAGUUUGACACAUAAAAACAUUAAAAAUAACCAGUUGAUGUGUUUGGGUUAUGAUAUUACAGUGUUGUGAUGCAAAAUAUUGCAUUUGUUCUAUGUAUGUAGUUAGGGACUGAGAUACAAAGAAAAUCUCUGUGAAUACCUCAAAACUAUGUUUCUAUCCUUGUUGUGACUACAAAUAUCAGAACAAUAAAAUAGUCUGUAAAACAAACAUAAAUAUGUGUCUGAAUAAGUAUGCAUGUGUGUACAGGCAGUCACCAAAUUACAAUCAUCCAGCUUACAAAUGACUCAUAGUUACAAAUGGGGGUGAGACAACAGGAAAUAAGAGAAAUCUACCCCUCAGAAGGGAAAUUCACUCCCGAAAGAGUUAUCAUGGGGAAAAGAUAUCUCCACUGAAGCUUUAUCACCAAUCAUUGUUUUCACAAGUUAUUUUUUUUCAAAAUGCAAUGAUCACAGGGACAGAAAGAGAGGUGAAAUCUUCUGGACAGGAGCACAGAGAGCAAAACAAACACCACAGGGUGUGUGUGUGUGUGUGUGUGUGUGUGUGUGUGUGUUACACCUAAAAAUGUAUCUGCUCUCACUUAUAAACAAAUUCAACUUAAGAACAAACUUACAGAACCUGUCUUGUUUGUAACUUGGGGACUGCCUGUAUAUAUCUAUAAAAUCCUAACUGCAACUGUGGGUGGAGCUAUUCUAUACUGCCAUAUAAUGCAGUUUCAGAAUGUAGUUUAACUGCAUUGAACUGGAUUAUACUGCAGUGUAGAUACCUCUCCCCCUUUUUUAUUAUGAUUGUAAACACAGGUAGAGUGAUACAAAUCUCAAUAACUAUUCAGCAAGGUUAAAUAGAACAAACAGUCAUAUUCCACUUACAUUUCCUCUCAAUUUGACAUGUCCUAUUUUCUUAACCUUAUCAAUUCCACCCUUAUCUUCCACUUGUGCCCAACAGUUUUUCUUCCCUCCCUCUUCUCCUUCGCCUCCCCCCCCCCCCCCCCCACACACACACUCUCCGGGAAUAGUUGUGUCCUUGAUUUGGGUAUUAUUUUGACCAAGAGAAUGGGAUUCAGUUCUUUAUUUUUUUUCCUUAUACUCUAGCUAUCAGAAUUUCCCAUUUUGAGUCCCCAUUCUUCUAGAAACGGCCUGUUGUGUAUUUAAUUCUCCUUUCAAAAGUGUAAUCCUAUUAUAAUUUUUUUGUAUCUUGUCACAGUCCCACCACAUGUGCAUAAAAGAGCCAAUUUCACCACAUUUGUGUCAACAUAGUUUUGAACUGGAUUACAUGGCAGUGUAGGCUCAUUCUGAAACUGCAUUAUUUGGCAGUGAAAAUCCAGCCUGAGAUAUUGACACAGAUAUUCAUCAAAUAUAAGUAUGUUUCCUUCUGCUGCUAGAGAUCCCUUCUUUACUCAUUUAUAUGCCUUUUUGCACAAAAUAUUUCAAGGUGCUUUCGAUACACAAUUAAAGCACUUGGAUGCUACACAAUUAUAGCUAUGGGAUACUGGGAUUGGCAAUUUCUGGAGGAGCAUUUAGAAUUGCAUGAUGUUAUGGCUUGAGCCUUUGUCUACAACUCAGGGGAUCAGGAUAUGAAUCCUCACUCAGCCAUGGAAACCCACUGAGUGACCUUUGGGAAGUCACACACUUUCAGUUUUAGAAAAUGAUGGGUUCAUGCUAUGGUUAUCAUAAGACUUGAAGGCACACAAUAAUAAACAACAAUUUUAAAUUGCCAGACAGUGCCAGAGCCUAACAAAACUACAAACUCCAGGAUCCAAUAAGGUGGCACUUAAAAUAGAGUCAUUGUGCUGUAACAUUGUAAUGUGAAAUGAUUACCAGAUUGCUGCUCCUCAUUUCCCAAGACCUCCCCUGUUCAGAUAUGUGAAAAAGAAAUUCAAACAGCCAAACAUUCUGCCUUGUCUGAGCAAUGACUUGCUCUGUACUGAGUAACAGCUAUUUCUUGAGGGCGUUUCCUGACAGUACCAAAAUGCAGGAUUAAUAUGUGGGAUGAACAAACCCAGGACCUCAGAGCAGGUCCCCACAGAAACCUGUCGGUACUGGGCUUUCUUUCCCCACCAUCUUCACAGUUUUUCUGUCUUGGGAUAAAAUGGAGGUGAACAGGGGACAUCUGCUGGAAGUCUUUUUAAAAAAUCACUCCAUUAUGUGCUGAAGUGUAUAUGAGCACAUGCAUAUAUCCUAAUACAAAUAUGGAGCAAUUCCUAUGUAUGUAUAUAAGUAUCAGUGCAUAACAGCAAAAUCCAGGUUUUUAUACCCAGAACCAGGAUAAAAGAGGGCCUUUUUGAAUUGGGUUAUCCCUACAUUGCUGCGACUGAGCGCCUAUUUAGCACAAACGUCAUCUGGCCAUCCCCCUUUUUAACUCACUAUCUCCCAAAGUAUAGGUACUGCCUAUAAGUGAUCUGAGACUCUUUAAGGUGAUCUGAUUAUGUGAUCAAUCAACAUUUGUAGAAGAUAACAACAGGUUCUACAUUUUUCUGUAGGCAUGCUUGCAGUCAGGGGAAUGGUCACUGAUUAGUUUUCUGACACUUUGCAUGCAUAUUUUUUAUAGAAUUCAUGCUGUUUUUAGUAAUUUUGUGAAUAUGUUUAGGGGACUUAAUCAGUAAAUACACAAAACAUUUCAAGUUAAUGUUAUCUUGUAUAUAUACUAGAAUAGUGGAAAGUACAGCUCAUUUUUUACAGGAGCUUACUAACAUUUGCAGAUUUCUUCAUAAAUUUGUUAAAUAGAAAUUACUUUCAAAAAUGUAUUUAAGACAAAGUUAAACUGGCAGAUUCACUCCUUCCUGAUAAAUUCACCCUUUUCUAGCUUUGAGAUAAUUAGUUUUACAUUUUGUCAAGGAUCCCACAUCAGUGACUGGCAGCGUAGGCAGUCAGAUGCAGAAAGAGUCUCUUUCAAUCUAUAUAGCAACAGGGAAAGCCAAAUUCAAUCCACAGGAAGCUCACCAAUGCAUCCAGAAGCAGUCCAAGGUCAUUCACCAACAGCAAAUCCUACACAGUAUCAGGCAAAGCAUGUAGUCCGAGUAUUCAGUCUGAGGUCAAACAGCUCACUAAAACUCCACGUAUUGUAAUGCAGGUCCAAGAUUCCAAAUCACUGGCUGAAGACAUUUACACAACAAUUGCUUCCAGCAAUGUUCUGUUCUCAGCGUUCUUCCUUUAUGCCAGUGGUUCUCAACCUGUGGGUACUCAGGUGUUUUGGGCCUACAACUCCCAGAAAUCCCAGCCAGUUUACCAGCUGUUAGGAUUUCCUGGGAGCUGAAAACCAAGACAUCUGGGGACCCACAGGUUGAGAACCACUGCUUUAUGCUGCCUUUCUAAUCACUCUACAGCUGUUGAGCCAAUCUCUUUGACUGGCACAGCUGGAUCGAGCCUACUCUAAUUUAAAGCCGGACGAAGUGUGUCAACUCCUGCCCUCCCUCCUGAAGAUCUUCAUCCUGCUCUAACUUACUGGCCUCCACAUAGUUCUGCUUCAGCUACUGGGAGGCAAACCCUCUCUUUCCCCCCCCCCUUCCCCUCCCC
ensembl:lncRNA